rnacentral:rRNA from 1 species
GUCUUUUGAGUACCUUCGUUUCCUCGGCGGGUCCGCCCGCCGAUUGGACAACAUUCAAACCCUUUGCAGUUGCAAUCAGCGUCUGAAAAAACAUAAUAGUUACAACUUUCAACAACGGAUCUCUUGGUUCUGGCAUCGAUGAAGAACGCAGCGAAAUGCGAUAAGUAGUGUGAAUUGCAGAAUUCAGUGAAUCAUCGAAUCUUUGAACGCACAUUGCGCCCCUUGGUAUUCCAUGGGGCAUGCCUGUUCGAGCGUCAUUUGUACCUUCAAGCUCUGCUUGGUGUUGGGUGUUUGUCUCGCCUCUGCGUGUAGACUCGCCUUAAAACAAUUGGCAGCCGGCGUAUUGAUUUCGGAGCGCAGUACAUCUCGCGCUUUGCACUCAUAACGACGACGUCCAAAAGUACAUUUUUACACUCUUGACCUCGGAUCAGGUAGGGAUACCCGCUGAACUUAAGCA